UACGUAGGGAGCAAGCGUUGUCCGGAAUCAUUGGGCGUAAAGCGCGCGUAGGCGGCCCGAUAAGUCCGCUGUAAAAGUCAACGGCUCAACUGUUGAAAGCCGGUGGAUACUGUCGGGCUAGAGUACGGAAGAGGCAAGUGGAAUUCCUGGUGUAGCGGUGGAAUGCGCAGAUAUCAGGAGGAACACCCAUAGCGAAGGCAGCUUGCUGGGACGUUACUGACGCUAAGGCGCGAAAGCGUGGGGAGCGAACAGG
rnacentral:rRNA from 1 species